CUUCCGGUUGAUCCUGCCGGACCCGACUGCUAUCAGAGUGGGACUAAGCCAUGCGAGUCAACAUAGCAAUAUGUGGCAUACGGCUCAGUAACACGUAGUCAACAUGCCCAGGGGACGUGGAUAACCUCGGGAAACUGAGGAUAAACCGCGAUAGGUCAUCACUUCUGGAAUGGGUAAUGACUUAAAUCUAUAUGGCCCCUGGAUUGGACUGCGGCCGAUCAGGCUGUUGGUGAGGUAAUGGCCCACCAAACCUGUAACCGGUACGGGCUCUGAGAGGAGGAGCCCGGAGAUGGGCACUGAGACAAGGGCCCAGGCCCUAUGGGGCGCAGCAGGCGCGAAACCUCUGCAAUAGGCGAAAGCUUGACAGGGUUACUCUGAGUGAUUUCCGUUAAGGAGAUCUUUUGGCACCUCUAAAAAUGGUGCAGAAUAAGGGGUGGGCAAGUCUGGUGUCAGCCGCCGCGGUAAUACCAGCACCCCGAGUGGUCGGGACGUUUAUUGGGCCUAAAGCAUCCGUAGCCGGUUCUACAAGUCUUCCGUUAAAUCCACCUGCUUAACAGAUGGGCUGCGGAAGAUACUAUAGAGCUAGGAGGCGGGAGAGGCAAGCGGUACUCGAUGGGUAGGGGUAAAAUCCGUUGAUCCAUUGAAGACCACCAGUGGCGAAGGCGGCUUGCCAGAACGCGCUCGACGGUGAGGGAUGAAAGCUGGGGGAGCAAACCGGAUUAGAUACCCGGGUAGUCCCAGCUGUAAACGAUGCAGACUCGGUGAUGAGUUGGCUUAUUGCUAACUCAGUGCCGCAGGGAAGCCGUUAAGUUUGCCGCCUGGGGAGUACGGUCGCAAGACUGAAACUUAAAGGAAUUGGCGGGGGAGCA
rnacentral:rRNA from 1 species